GACGAACGCUGGCGGCGUGCUUAACACAUGCAAGUCGAACGGAAAGGCCCUGCUUUUGUGGGGUGCUCGAGUGGCGAACGGGUGAGUAACACAUGAGUAACCUGCCCUUGACUUUGGGAUAACUUCAGGAAACUGGGGCUAAUACCGGAUAGGAGCUCCUGCUGCAUGGUGGGGGUUGGAAAGUUUCGGCGGUUGGGGAUGGACUCGCGGCUUAUCAGCUUGUUGGUGGGGUAGUGGCUUACCAAGGCUUUGACGGGUAGCCGGCCUGAGAGGGUGACCGGCCACAUUGGGACUGAGAUACGGCCCAGACUCCUACGGGAGGCAGCAGUGGGGAAUAUUGCGCAAUGGGCGGAAGCCUGAUGCAGCAACGCCGCGUGCGGGAUGACGGCCUUCGGGUUGUAAACCGCUUUCGCCUGUGACGAAGCGUGAGUGACGGUAAUGGGUAAAGAAGCACCGGCUAACUACGUG
rnacentral:rRNA from 1 species